CCUACGGGUGGCGGCAGUGGGGAAUAUUGGACAAUGGGGGCAACCCUGAUCCAGCCAUGCCGCGUGUGUGAAGAAGGCCCUCGGGUUGUAAAGCACUUUCAGUGAGGAAGAACGCCUGGUGGUUAAUACCCAUCAGGAAAGACAUCACUCACAGAAGAAGCACCGGCUAACUCCGUGCCAGCAGCCGCGGUAAUACGGAGGGUGCGAGCGUUAAUCGGAAUUACUGGGCGUAAAGCGCGCGUAGGUGGCUUGAUAAGCCGGUUGUGAAAGCCCCGGGCUCAACCUGGGAACGGCAUCCGGAACUGUCAAGCUAGAGUGCAGGAGAGGAAGGUAGAAUUCCCGGUGUAGCGGUGAAAUGCGUAGAGAUCGGGAGGAAUACCAGUGGCGAAGGCGGCCUUCUGGACUGACACUGACACUGAGGUGCGAAAGCGUGGGUAGCAAACAGGAUUAGAUACCCGGGUAGUC
rnacentral:rRNA from 1 species